rnacentral:rRNA from 1 species
GACGGAGGGUGCGAACGUUGUUCGGAAUUACUGGGCGUAAAGCGCGUGUAGGCGGCAACGCAAGUCGGGCGUGAAAUCCCACGGCUCAACCGUGGAAGUGCACUCGAAACUGCGUAGCUAGAGUCCUGGAGAGGAAGGUGGAAUGCUUGGUGUAGAGGUGAAAUUCGUAGAUAUCAAGCGGAACACCGGUGGCGAAGGCGGCCUUCUGGACAGUGACUGACGCUGAGACGCGAAAGCGUGGGGAGCAAACAGG